rnacentral:lncRNA from 1 species
AUGAGCUCAGCUCCUGAACAUCCCAGAAUUUGCCUGGGACUCACUGACCUCGAGCUGUCACCCCUUCCCUCUCCACACACCUCUUUGUCUCUCUACUCUGACCUGGACCUGCUAGCUUCCAGAAGUGAAGAAACACAGGACAAAGGAAAGCCCACUAUACUCAGGGAAGCAAGUUCAAGUGUCCAUGUUUGGGGGUGGAAGCAUCAUCAGUCCACCUGCAAAGUAGCCCAAGAUUUUCCAACCAAGAGAGCAACUUCAAGGCCAGAUGAAAGUAUUCCACAGAAUGCCUUGGGCAGGAAGCCACGUCUCCCCAAAGUCCAUGUUCUCACAACCUGGGGACAACCUGCUGAACCAAUUGUGGUGAAGGGGCCCAAAGGAUGUGUCCCAGGCAAGAGAGGAGCCUCAGGGAACCUCCUCCCCAGCCAGAGAGAAACUUUAGGCAGAAAGGAUGUGUAGAGUCAACAGUGUUUGUGGGACAUAUUUGUGGAACAAAAUCAUAUCAGCUGCUUUAGAGAGUAGGCAGUCAGCCUAUGAGAACCUGGGGUCCCAGUGACCUUCCCUGUUCUGGGGUGAGCCAGAAGCAGACACUCCGUAUCCACUUCUCUUCUCCCCUCCAACCUUUUCCACACCCUCCUCUCGGUGAUUGGUGGUUUAAAGGUAGCACAAGGUUCUAGGCCUUGGGCUGGGAUUGUGGCUCAAGCGGUAGCACGCUCGCCUGGCAUGCGUGUGGCCCGGGUUCGAUCCUCAGCACCACAUACCAACAAAGAUGUUGUGUCUGCCGAGAACUAAAAAAUAAAAAUAUUUAAAAAAAAAAAAAAAAGGUUCUAGGCCUUGAAAAGGCCUGUGUGUCUGGGCUCAUGUAAUUCCAACUAGCUAGAAGUUGGCCCCACUGACACUCGGCUCCUCCAUAAGUUAGGAGGGGCGGUAUGGUGACAAAGAGUGAGGACCUUGGGUUCCCAGCUCUACCACUUAUGCAGGAUACAUAAUUCUAAAUAUCUUUCAACCUCAGUUUCCUCAUCUAUGAAAUGGGACAGUAGUAAAGUAGGUGAAAUGCCUACUCAAAACUUUGGCCCCCUCUCUGUCGUUUCCCAGUUCCCUUCCUAUUUCUUCCCUCUCCCUUCUCACUCCUCUUACUCAUUCUCCCUCUUUCUCCUUCCUUCUUAUCCUUAUCCCUACCUCAUUUCUCUUCCUCCUCUCUUCCCCUCACCAUCUUUUCUCUCCUUUCUUCAUCCCCUUCCUGGUUUCCUCCCUCUCACCCCUUCAGGGGCUCUGGUUCAUACUUUUAAGAAGCUAAGGGCUGGGGUUGUGGCUCAGUGGUAGAGUGAUUGCCUAGCACAGGCAUGGUCCCGGGUUUGAUCCUCAGCACCACAUAUAAAAACAAAGAUGUUGUCCGCCGAAAACUAAAAAAUAAAUAUUAAAAAAUUCU